rnacentral:rRNA from 1 species
AUUGAACGCUGGCGGCAGGCCUAACACAUGCAAGUCGAACGAGUGGCGGACGGGUUAGUAAUGUCUGGGCAACUGCCUGAUGGAUGGGGUUAACUAUUGGAAACGGUUGCUACUACCGCAUCCCUUCGGAUGUGCCCAGAUGGGAUUAGCUAGUAGGUGGGGUAUAGGCUCACCAAGGCGACGAUCCCUACCUGGUCUGAGAGGAUGACCAGCCAAACUGGAACUGAGACACGGUCCAGACUCCUACGGGAGGCAGCAGUGGGGAAUAUUGGACAAUGGGCGCAAGCCUGAUGCAGCCAUGCCGCGUGUGUGAAGAAGGCCUUCGGGUUGUAAAGUACUUUCAGCGGGGAGGCGUUACCAGCAGAAGAAGCACCGGCUAACUCCGUGCCAGCAGCCGCGGUAAUAC